GGAGUAGAAACACAACACACACAUUAUUUAUUAACAACAUCAACACACACACAGACAGAAAAAUAUUUGAAGCUCAUCUCAGCUCCAAAUGAGUAUCACAAACUGCGCUGAUCAUACGUAACACAGACUUCUUCCAGAAUCAUCAGUCAUUUAUAAGAUGAUCUUCAAUGCUGCAGCUCAUCUGGUCUAAGCUCUAUUUAUCCCAAUAGAGUCCUCUUCACACAUCAAUAUCACAGGAGAAUUGAGCUGGUUUUCUUUCUUCUUGCUCCGCUGACGCAUGCCUUAAGAGGUGUCAGCGGAGCAAAAUCAGCUCCUCCUUUACCAAAAUCCAACAUCAAACCUGCAGUCCGGAGCUCUUCCCCAUCUACAGCCAGUGUUUCAGAGGAACCAGAUGAUCAAUCCAGCAAAGGUGUCAACGGGCUACUCCAGCAUGAACCAGUCAUGGUAAGGCAUCUGUCCUAGAAGAAUUCUGUGCUCUGGAAUCUGCUGCAGACAAGCCCACAUCAGAUCACAGCAUUCUUUGAAAAACAAAAGGAGAGGUCUCAUCAUCUGCUGUAAGACUCAGUGCAGAAUCAUCAGCGGAGUCAUCUUGU
ensembl:processed_transcript